UUAAUAAAAAUUGGACAUUCAUCCUAAAAUACUCAUUUUUUUCAGAUAUAAUUUUACCAACUGAUCUUCAGUUUCAUCCUCCUUCUACGGCGAAUUUGUAGGGUAUGAGUUAUGUUAUCAAGGAGAUUCCACCACAUCUAUUAAGAUUUGGAAGCUCCUGUAAUGCAAAGUUCAAAGAUGAUUUUAAAGAUGCUAUCGGACAAGAAGUACUUGACAUGUUUGUUGAGACAAUUUUUGAGUGUUAUCUCAAGAUCCCAAGGUCCAAUAACAUAGGAAAUUACAAAUUGUUUAAUUAUGCUUGAGAAUCAACUCUACAAUUAAGAUGAGAGAUAUGUUUUCGUUAAUCCCAAUGUUCUUAGAUUUUCAA